rnacentral:misc_RNA from 1 species
UUGGAGAUCAGGAGCAAAGGUUGCCCUGAAGAGGUGAGAAGCACUCGAGUACUAAGUUUAUCCAACUAUCAAGCAUUAUGCUAAGGUACACAAGGUCUUAUAUUCGCACGUUCCACGAGACCCUGAUGAACUGGAACUUUUAAUCGGAGAUUUUGUGUAUGUUAAAGGAGAUAUCCUGGUGUCCUCCCCUGAUGGAUGGGUAGAAGGGACAUCUUGGCUCACUGGUUCAACAGGAUUUUUACCAAUUAAUUAUAUUGAACGUACAGCAGAAUCUGAUGCUUGGACACUGCAUAGAGCUAUUCCAGUCAUAGGCAACACUGGUCGAGAAGGAGUUGAGACCAUAUCCUUCCCCCGCCGUCCACACAUCUCUCUGUCAUUAUUAAACCUAUUAGAAAAUAGUGAAGGCUCCAGACGCUCAACUGAAGUUCUCUCUGAAUCAUCAUCUAUGGAUCGACUACACUCACGUCAAGCUUCCCUGGAGGCCACACAGUCACCUUCUCUUCCCCAACAGGAUGUUAUAGAUGCUUUAUAUGCUAAGGUGAGUUGUUUAGAAUUGAAUGUGCACG